rnacentral:lncRNA from 10 species
AGGGGACUAGCCUAGGGCCUGGAACACCCAGAGGGUGGCUGCUGGGGGCGUGAGAACUGGGUAGGGGUGCCUCCAGGAAGUCCUCUUAUGUGUGCUUCUUUGUUCAUUUGACAAGGAUUUGCUGAGCACCUACUAUGCAUCAGACGCUGUGUUCUAGGCAAGGGGGAUACACCUGAUGGAAGAAGGUCCUUCCCUAGACGUAGCUAACAUCCCAGUGUGGGAGAUGACACGAAACAAGUAUGGUGGAAAUGAUGUCACGCCCACUCCAGGCCUAACCUCUAGGAGGACUGGCAGUUUCUGCUAUGGCCUCUGGGAGCCAUGAGCUGCCAUGAAAAAGGUCAAACUACUCUGCUGGAGACACCCACCUGGAGAAGCCCUGGGAUUCCAUGGAGAGGCAGACGGACCCAGCUGAGCUCAGUGUUCCAGCCAUCCCCACGAAAGCACCAGGAACCUGAGUGAAACCAUCUCGAUCCUCCAGCAUAGCACAAUCAGCAGCUGAAGAUCACUGAGUGACUCUAGUCGGCGCUCCAUGGAUCACUGAAGGAUCACCCAGCUGAGCCCUGCGCAAAUUUCUGACUCACAAAACUGUAGACGAUACAAUGGUUGUUGUUUGGGGGCAGUUUGUUAUGCUGUAGCAAUAAAUAGCCAGAAGAGACCAAGAGGCAGAAGUUGUUUGCUGAAAAUAAUGCAAAAAUUAUACCAGCCCUUGCCCAGCUACCUCCGGA